CCUAAACCUCCUGAUUAGAUCAGAAACAACAAGCCACAUCCUGCUUUAUUGGAGACUCAUCUUUCCUCAGGUCCAUCAUUUCCUCCGAUUUUCACUACUAUAAGAUGAAAAAACUGAGGACAAAAAUGGAUGAAGCUUGCUUGGGAAUACCUAGCUAACAGUUGUGAAGUUGAGACUAGAUACCAGCUCUUCUGACCCAUGGUCCUAGAUGCUUUCUGCUUGAUUGUCUGCCUCUGCUCUCUGGACAGUCGCACAGUUCUUAGCUGGAAGGGUCUUAUAUACAAUUUUCCCCUUCACGACCUUCUAGGUUCCAAAAAUGUGGUUGUAGAUAUUGGAAUGCAUUGUCCCACUAGAACAAUCAUGCCUAUUAUAUUCUAUAGACCCCUGUGUCCAUUCUCAAAAACCUAUGAUUGAUCCACAAGAGUUAAGUAAGUUACUUUAAAACAAAAUAUGCUUCACAGAGCAAUAUUCCCUCAAGAAAGUUUCAAGGAAAAAAGUUUCAAGGUCAAAUAAGUUUGAGAAACAUAGAAUAUCAUAUAUCCCUCUCAGAGAUUUGUAAUGUACAUUUGCAUAUUAAAGGCUUUAAGUUUUCUUUAAAGAAAAGAAAACUGCUUAAAAUGGUUCCAUUGAGAAUUCAUCAACUUUAUUUGACUUUGAAAUCUUUUUAGUGAGUAAAACAUAUUAACACCCCAAACUACAGUUCCCCAAAACACGCUUUGGAAAUUGCUGCUAUAGAAAAAUAUGAUGUGUGACGAUUUAAGAUAUUAGGAGCACUUCUUCCACUGUGAGAUUAAGGGUUACCCUGAAGGUAAGAGGGAUGUUGGUGAUCAUUCCCUUGAUAUCAGUCAGGGACUAGAAUUAGUGAUGGGUAUUGUUGGGACAUACAAAGCAGAACCAGGCAUGGAAGGAUAAGGAACAGAAUGAUAAAGGCAAGGAAUGAUGCCUUGGAACACUGAGACGAGACCAGGAGGACAGGCUGGAGACACAUAAAUGGUGAGUGACAAGAGAGCAGCUAGCUUGGGAUUUGUACCGUCUUCCUCGUUCUGCUCCCUCCUCUGAUCCUGCCACUGCAGACACACUCCUGGACAAAAUCAAGACUGGGAAGCAGGGAUGUGGCAGAGACACAGACGGGUGGACCCAAGCAUUGAGGGCUGCCAUGGAAGGAGAAGCCGAGAGGAGAGAAAUGCCAAGGAGCUGGAGCAAAGAGGACAUCUGGCGGGAGUAACUGGUUUCCAAUUGUUCUUCUCAGGAAAGGAUGAAAACCAGACGCUGCUUUCGUACCCUAUGUUCUCCAACAGUCAAAUGACCAUCCAAUUUAUCAUCCAUACAAAGACACUUUUGCACUAUUAAUCACCAUGCGAGGACAACAGAUGUAAACUGAGACUAUCCCAGCCAGGCACGCAAAGAUAUGUGUUCACCUCAUGCAAUAUUAAAUGAUA
rnacentral:lncRNA from 1 species